rnacentral:rRNA from 1 species
UACAGAGGGUGCGAGCGUUAAUCGGAAUUACUGGGCGUAAAGCGUGCGUAGACGGUUAUUUAAGUCGGGUGUGAAAGCCCAGGGCUCAACCCUGGAAGUGCACUCGAAACUGGACGGCUUGAAUAUGGAAGAGGGUCGCGGAAUUCCCGGUGUAGAGGUGAAAUUCGUAGAUAUCGGGAGGAACACCAGUGGCGAAGGCGGCGACCUGGGCCAAUAUUGACGCUGAGGUGCGAAAGCGUGGGGAGCAAACAGG